GAUGAACGCUAGCGGGAGGCCUAACACAUGCAAGCCGAGCGGUAUUGUUUCUUCGGAAAUGAGAGAGCGGCGUACGGGUGCGUAACACGUGUGCAACCUGCCUUUAUCUGGGGGAUAGCCUUUCGAAAGGAAGAUUAAUACUCCAUAAUAUAUUGAACGGCAUCGUUUAAUAUUGAAAGCUCCGGCGGCUAGAGAUGGGCACGCGCAAGAUUAGCUAGUUGGUGAGGUAACGGCUCACCAAGGCGAUGAUCUUUAGGGGGCCUGAGAGGGUGAUCCCCCACACUGGUACUGAGACACGGACCAGACUCCUACGGGAGGCAGCAGUGAGGAAGAUUGGUCAAUGGGUGCAAGCCUGAACCAGCCAUCCCGCGUGAAGGACGACUGCCCUAUGGGUUGUAAACUUCUUUUGUAUAGGGAUAAACCUCCCCUCGUGAGGGUAGCUGAAGGGACUAUACGAAUAAGCACCGGCUAACUCCGUGCCAGCAGCCGCGGUAAGAC
rnacentral:rRNA from 1 species